UACGGAGGGUGCGAGCGUUGUCCGGAAUCACUGGGCGUAAAGGGCGCGUAGGUGGCGCAGGAAGUCAACGGUGAAAGUUCGGGGCUCAACCCUGAAUCGGCCGUCGAUACUCCUGGGCUCGAGCACUGUAGAGGCAGAUGGAAUUCCGGGUGUAGCGGUGGAAUGCGCAGAUAUCAGGAGGAACACCGAUGCGGAAGGCAGGUCACUGGGCCGCGAA
rnacentral:rRNA from 1 species